GAUGAAGAACGCAGCGAAAUGCGAUAAGUAGUGUGAAUUGCAGAAUUCAGUGAAUCAUCGAAUCUUUGAACGCACAUUGCGCCUCCUGGUAUUCCGGGAGGCAUGCCUGUUCGAGCGUCAUCAAAAACCUCAACCCAUGAUUUAUUGUGAGUUGGUUCCGCAUUGGACUCCUUGUGGGUCCUUUGCGAAAUCCAAUGGCGAAGAGCCACGCAACCAAAGCGUAGUAUAACUAUUUCGUUAUGGAAGCGUGGGUGCCUCUGCCGUAACCCCCAAUUUCUUAGUUUUUGACCUCGGAUCAGGUAGGGAUACCCGCUGAACUUAAGCAUAUCAAUAAGCGGAGGA
rnacentral:misc_RNA from 1 species